rnacentral:ncRNA from 4 species
AUGCACUGAGGGGAGCCUAGGCUCCCCUCAAAGGUAUUGCGUGUGCUCUUAUUAUUAUGGCGAUCGGGCUAUUGUGAUUAUUGUUGCCUGUUUCGCAGUGGCCUUGCGGCCGGCCCCCAAUCAGGGCCAAGAGCAAACGUAUUUUUUUGAACGCUUUAACCGUUUCACACCGAGGUGACCGAACCGGGCUGCUGAUACGCAGUU